AUUGAACGCUGGCGGCAGGCCUAACACAUGCAAGUCGAGCGAGCGGCGGACGGGUGAGUAAUGUAUGGGGACUGCCCGAUAGAGGGGGAUAACUACUGGAAACGGUAGCUAAUACCGCAUACUAUCGGAUAACCCAUAUGGGAUUAGCUAGUUGGUGAGGUAAUGGACAACAAAGGCAACGAUCCCUAGCUGGUCUGAGAGGAUGAUCAGCCACACGGGGACUGAGACACGGCCCAUACUCCAAGGGAGGCAGCAGUGGGGAAUAUUGCACAAUGGGCGCAAGCCUGAUGCAGCAAUGCCGCGUGUAUGAAGAAGGCCCUAGGGUUGUAAAGUACUUUCAGUCGGGAGGCGUUACCGACAGAAGAAGCACCGGCUAACUCCGUGCCAGCAGCCGCGGUAAUUC
rnacentral:rRNA from 1 species